GACGAACGCUGGCGGCGUGCCUAAUACAUGCAAGUAGAACGCUGAAGAGAGGAGCUUGCUCUUCUUGGAUGAGUUGCGAACGGGUGAGUAACGCGUAGGUAACCUGCCUUGUAGCGGGGGAUAACUAUUGGAAACGAUAGCUAAUACCGCAUAACAAUGGAUGACACAUGUCAUUUAUUUGAAAGGGGCAAUUGCUCCACUACAAGAUGGACCUGCGUUGUAUUAGCUAGUAGGUGAGGUAAUGGCUCACCUAGGCGACGAUACAUAGCCGACCUGAGAGGGGGGUCGGCCACACUGGGACUGAGACACGGCCCAGACUCCUACGGGAGGCAGCAGUAGGGAAUCUUCGGCUAUGGGGGCAACCCUGACCGAGCAACGCCGCGUGAGUGAAGAAGGGUUUCGGAUCGUAAAGCUCUGUUGUAAGUCAAGAACGGGUGUGAGAGUGGAAAGUUCACACUGUGACGGUAGCUUACCAGAAAGGGACGGCUAACUACGUG
rnacentral:rRNA from 1 species